rnacentral:rRNA from 1 species
AGACUAGUAUGAACGGCUAAAUGAGGACAAACCUGUCUCUUAUAACCAAUCAGUGAAACUGAUCUUCCAGUACAAAAGCUGGAAUUAAAACAUAAGACGAGAAGACCCCGUGGAGCUUAAAAUAAACAACUAACCAGCACCGGUAGUAGUAUUCUAUUUUGAGUUGGGGCGACUUCGGAAUAAAAUAAAACUUCCGAGCACAGAACCACCACUUCUAAUUAAGGCCUACAAGCCUAAAUAAAAAAUGACCCGGCCUUACCGAUCAACGAACCAAGUUACCCCGGGGAUAACAGCGCUAUCUUCUUCAAGAGUCCCUAUCAACAAGAAGGUUUACGACCUCGAUGUUGGAUCAGGACACCCAAAUGGUGCAGCCGCUAUUAAAGGUUCGUUUGUUCAACGAUUAAUAGUCCUACG